CUGAUUAACUGGCAGGGGGAUACCAUGAUCACGCAGAUGGAUUUUCCAGGGCGAGGCUCACCCAUUGCAUUUAGGAUGUGCUUGCCCCUGUGAUGUCCUCAAAUGUGGGAAACUCUACUGCAUAAUUUGUGGCAGUACUAACUGCAUCAUUUUCAGUUAGAA